rnacentral:sRNA from 1 species
AAGAUUUCAAAACUAGAAAAGUUUUUGUCUUUUUUACCCUUUUGUUCUUGUUU